rnacentral:misc_RNA from 1 species
AAAUGAUCCACUACCGAUCUUGCGACCGAUACGAAAUUUGUUACCAACGCGCGGCUCCAUAAUAAAGCAAACCCUGAACUUUUUCUCUCUCUCUCUAUAACAAUCAAAAACCCUAAUUCUUUAAUUACGAAAACAAAAACCCCUCUCCCCUAUAUUCCCUCAGCUUUUUUUUUAAUUAAAAUAAAAAAAUUGAUCCUACAGGUGUCGGCGGCGAUGACGAGAAGAGGGAAAUCAACGGAGGAGAGAGAAUAUCGGGGAGCAGAGAAGUAGAAGGAUGAGACGGGAUAUGGAUGGAAAUAAAGGGGGAACUUUCUCUCUCUAGAUAUUUAUUAUUUAAGAGAGAGAAAGGAAGGAAGGAGAGAGAGGAGGCAUUGUUGGUGUGAUC